ACUGUAAGUUUCCCGUUUUAGUGAACCAAUCUCAAUCGCCCGUUUUGCCCAUAUAUCAGCCACCUCAUUGCCUCUAAUACCACAGUGGCUUGGAACCCAUCCGAGAACAAUAUGUAGGCCCCUCGAUUCACACCUACGUAGCACAGCUUUAAUUUCAAGAAUCAAAGGAAAUUUGGCUUUAAAUUUUAAUUGAUUGCCUACUAUUGCCUGCAGGCAACUCCUACUGUCAGAAAAGAUAAUUGUUUUUUUAAUGUUAUGUGUGUCUGCAUAUUUGACAGCCUCAAGAAUAGCAACUGCCUCACCUGUGAAAAUGGACGCUUGAGGAGGACAUUUAAAUGGAAGGACGAUAUUGUACCGUGGAAUCCACACCGCUGCUCCCACACAUCUUGCAGGAUCCACCUUAGAAGCGUCAGUAAAAACCGUGACCUCCAGUGCCAGCGCCUGCAAGCGUGGGAGCAGCAAGUGGUUGUUGUAAGAGCUGGCUUUGAUCAAGAACCUGUCGGCGAGGUAUUGUCUGCGUAGAGCCAACGGCGGUUCAACACCUUCCACCUGCAUGCCAUUUUUGGGAGAGGGAAGCAUAGCACCUAGUAUGAUCCUUAAACAUUUAGCCUGUAUAAGAUCUAAUUUAUCUAGACCAUCCUUAUUACAGGGUUCCAUUAAAAAUGCCCCAUAGUCUAUAUGGCUACGUAUGAUGGCAUUGUAUAGUAGCUUCUGGCAAUAAGGAUGGGAACCCCACCAGACACCCGACAAUGCUCGAAGAAUAUUAAUAUUUUUCUCACAUUUACCCAGUACAUAUUUGUGGUGUGAGGUGCCAGACAUUUUAUGAUCUAAAAUAACACCUAGAAAUUUUACUGACUCUUUAUUUGGAAUCAUCACACCACCAUAACGGACAUCUGCGUCAGGCAUGGUCCUUCUGCGACUGAAAGUCACUACACAGCUUUUUGUUGGCGAUAGGGUCAAACCAUGUUCAUCAAGCCAAUCCUUGAGGUAACCCAAAGCUGUAUUAAGACUAGCAGUGGCUUUGUCCAUUGACUUUGCUGAGGUGUAUAAGACUAGGUCAUCAGCAUACUGCAAGAUAUUACAGAAGGAUAGGACAGAUUGCUCCAAGUCGUAGGUGUAGAUACUGUAAAGCAGGGGGCUGAGUACCGAUCCUUGCGGGAGACCACGCCACAAAGUUCGAGGUGGGUAAUAGGAAUUACCAUUCCUAAUUUUAAUUGACCUACCCAUGAACAAUUUGGUGACAAUAUGUACAAUCUUCGCGGGAAUGCUCAGAUGUAGCAUUUUUGCCCUGAGCACCGGAAGAAGGACAUUGUCGUAGGCCGCAGAGAUAUCUAGAAAACAUCCCAGCAGAUAUUCGUUUUUUGAAA